rnacentral:rRNA from 1 species
AGAACGAACGCUGGCGGCAUGCCUAACACAUGCAAGUCGAACGCCUGUAGCAAUACAGGAGUGGCGCACGGGUGAGUAACGCGUGGGAACCUACCCUGGAGUGGGGGAUAACCGAGGGAAACUUCGGCUAAAUACCUCAUACGACCUGAGGGUGAAAGAUUUAUCGCUCUAGGAGGGGCCCGCGUCGGAUUAGCUAGUUGGUGAGGUAACGGCCCACCAAGGCGAUGAUCCGUAGCUGGUCUGAGAGGAUGAUCAGCCACACUGGGACUGAGACACGGCCCAGACUCCUACGGGAGGCAGCAGUGGGGAAUAUUGGACAAUGGGGGCAACCCUGAUCCAGCAAUGCCGCGUGAGUGAUGAAGGCCUUAGGGUUGUAAAGCUCUUUCGGCGGGGACGAUGAUGACGGUACCCGCAGAAGAAGCCCCGGCUAACUUCGUGCCAGCAGCCGC